rnacentral:rRNA from 1 species
GAGUUUGAUCCUGGCUCAGGAUGAACGCUAGCGGCAGGCUUAACACAUGCAAGUCGAGGGGUAUAGGCUUUCGGGCCUAGAGACCGGCGCACAGAUGCGUAACGCGUAUGCAACCUACCUUUCACAGAGGGAUAGCCCAGAGAAAUUUGGAUUAAUACCUCAUAGUAUAAUGGUGUGGCAUCACAUUAUUAUUAAAGUUCCAACGGUGAAAGAUGGGCAUGCGUCCCAUUAGCUAGAUGGUAAGGUAACGGCUUACCAUGGCUACGAUGGGUAGGGGUCCUGAGAGGGAGAUCCCCCACACUGGUACUGAGACACGGACCAGACUCCUACGGGAGGCAGCAGUGAGGAAUAUUGGACAAUGGGCGCAAGCCUGAUCCAGCCAUGCCGCGUGCAGGAUGAAGCAUCUAUGGUGUGUAAACUGCUUUUGUACGAGAAGAAACAGCUCUUCGUGAAGAGCCUUGACGGUAUCGUAAGAAUAAGGAUCGGCUAACUCCGUGCCAGCAGCCGCGGUAAUACGGAGGAUCCAAGCGUUAUCCGGAAUCAUUGGGUUUAAAGGGUCCGUANGCGGCCUUAUAAGUCAGCGGUGAAAUCUCCCGGCUCAACCGGGAAAUGGCAUUGAUACUGU